rnacentral:rRNA from 1 species
GACGAACGCUGGCGGCGUGCUUAACACAUGCAAGUCGAACGGAAAGGCCCUGCUUGCCGGGUACUCGAGUGGCGAACGGGUGAGUAACACGUGGGUGAUCUGCCCUGCACUUCGGGAUAAGCCUGGGAAACUGGGUCUAAUACCGGAUAGGAGCCAUUUUUAGUGUGAUGGUUGGAAAGUUUUUUCGGUGUAGGAUGAGCUCGCGGCCUAUCAGCUUGUUGGUGGGGUAAUGGCCUACCAAGGCGGCGACGGGUAGCCGGCCUGAGAGGGUGGACGGCCACAGUGGGACUGAGAUACGGCCCAGACUCCUACGGGAGGCAGCAGUGGGGAAGAUUGCACAAUGGGGGCAAGCCGGAUGCAGCGACGCCGCGUGGGGGAUGACGGCCUUCGGGUUGUAAACUCCGUUCGCUAGGGACGAAGCUUUUUGUGACGGUACCUAGAGAAGAAGCACCGGCUAACUACGUG